UACGUAGGGGGCAAGCGUUGUCCGGAUUUAUUGGGCGUAAAGCGCGUGUAGGCGGCCAGAUAGGUCUGCUGUGAAAACUCGAGGCUCAACCUCGAGCUGUCGGCGGAAACCAUCUGGCUAGAGUCCGGAAGGGGAGAGUGGAAUUCCUGGUGUAGCGGUGAAAUGCGCAGAUAUCAGGAAGAACACCUAUGGCGAAGGCAGCUCUCUGGGACGGUACUGACGCUGAGACGCGAAAGCGUGGGGAGCGAACAGG
rnacentral:rRNA from 1 species